ACUAUUUGAAAGAAUAAUUGUGGUGCUGGCAGACUAGGUGCCAGCUCUUGCCAAGGCUUUAGGCAUUAGCUGAGCACUGACAGUUUCAUUGCUGGAAAC